AUUUAUUUAUUUAUUUAUUUUACCUUCUAUACUUUUUUUUUUUUCUCCAUUUUCAGGUGUAAGAAAUCUUCCUACUCCCAAGAAAGCCCACAAGUAUUAAGAAAUCUGAGUUCUAAGGUUCUCUAGAUCUAUUGAGACUACAGAUUACUCAAACCAAUCCUAAAUUAUCAGGGCAUGUUUACCAUAUACCAUAAUCCACGUUCACAGUUUCUUGCAGUCAUGCUUAUUUUCAUAUUAGCUUUAGAUUAUUGUUGUCAUUUUUAUCGAAUAAACUUGAUUACUCAAAAGACUAUAACAAUUGUGAUAGAUAAUUAUGCUAAAGUAGAUGUUGAGAUAUGGAAACAAUUAAAGAGCUAUGAUGAAGAAAUCUAGAUAAUAUUUUAAAAUAUUUUUCUUAUUUUAUCGGAUAAUAAAUUUCGAUAUUAAUAUUUUUAAUUAUAUAUGUCAGGUCUGUUUGAUAUUAUUGUUAGAAAAAACACUUUCUAAAUAUGUUAAUUAGAUGCAUUAGACAUUGGUUUAACAUUAAAUUUGACAUGUUUGAGUCAUUAAAAAUAAAGCUUUUCCUAAACUAUUUUUUCCAAUAACAUCUAAAACGGUAUUUUUUUUGAAAAGUUAGUGCUUUUUGGAUCAGAACCUCAAUGCUAAAUAAGUCUUUAUAUGUUUAUAAUGUUGAUUAAAUAGCAUUUCUUUUUAUAAUAAAAAGGAAAAAAUGUACCUCAAAGUUGGAAAUUUCACCAUAUAUGCAGUUUUGAUAUCAAUAGAACAAAAUUAAAAGAGAAGGAGAAGAAUACAUGACUGAUAAUU
rnacentral:misc_RNA from 1 species